rnacentral:rRNA from 1 species
GACGAACGCUGGCGGCGUGCUUAACACAUGCAAGUCGAACGAAGUGGCGAACGGGUGAGUAACGCGUAAUCACCCUGCCCUUCAGAGGGGGACAACAGUUGGAAACGACUGCUAAUACCGCAUACUGUAGGAGGGGAUUGCGUCGGAUUUGCUCGUUGGAGGGGUAACGGCCCACCAAGGCGAUGAUCAGUAGCCGGUGGGCGAGGAUGAACGGCCACACUGGGACUGAGACACUGCCCAGACUCCUACGGUGGGCAGCAGUGGGGAAACUGCCGCAAUGGACGAAAGUCUGACGGAGCAACGCCGCGUGAGUGAUUACGGCCUUCGGGUUGUAAAGCUGUGUUAAUCGGGACGCGGUACCUGAAUAGAAAGCCACGGCUAACUACGUGCCAGCCGCCGCGGUAAUUC